rnacentral:rRNA from 1 species
AACGUAGGGGGCCAGCGUUGCUCGGAAUUACUGGGCGUAAAGCGUGCGCAGGCGGUUUUGUAAGUCUGUCGUGAAAUCCCCGGGCUCAACCUGGGAAUGGCAUUUGGGACUGCAAGGCUGGAGUGCGGCAGAGGAGACUGGAAUUCCUGGUGUAGCAGUGAAAUGCGUAGAUAUCAGGAGGAAUACCGAUGGCGAAGGCAGGUCUCUGGGCUGACACUGACGCUCAUGCACGAAAGCGUGGGGAGCAAACAGG